rnacentral:rRNA from 1 species
GACGAACGCUGGCGGCGUGCUUAACACAUGCAAGUCGAACGGUGAAAGAAGAGCUUGCUCUUCUGGAUCAGUGGCGAACGGGUGAGUAACACGUGAGUAACCUGCCCCAGACUCUGGAAUAAGCGCUGGAAACGGCGCUUAAUACCGGAUACGAGACAGAGUUGCAUGGCUACUGUCUGGAAAGUUUUUCGGUCUGGGAUGGACUCGCGGCCUAUCAGCUUGUUGGUGAGGUAACGGCUCACCAAGGCAACGACGGGUAGCCGGCCUGAGAGGGCGACCGGCCACACUGGGACUGAGACACGGCCCAGACUCCUACGGGAGGCAGCAGUGGGGAAUAUUGCACAAUGGGCGAAAGCCUGAUGCAGCGACGCCGCGUGAGGGAUGACGGCCUUCGGGUUGUAAACCUCUUUCAGCAGGGAAGAAGCGAAAGUGACGGUACCUGCAGAAGAAGCACCGGCUAACUACGUG